rnacentral:lncRNA from 1 species
UCAUAACACACAAAAAUGUGAGAGUUCAUCAGUGAGAAAAAACAAAGGGUUUCUGGCAUUCUGCAUUAAAAUCAUUUGUGAGAGAAUAAUACUGCUUUCUGGUUCGCUGAGCACACAUAAAUUGUGCUAAUUUUUGUGAGCGUGAGCGAUGCAUCCUAGGAGACAGACGCCAAUCAACCGUAAACACCAGUGACAGAGCGAAUUAUAUCUUAAGGAGACAAUGUUGAACGCUGGUCUCGAUCCACUUCUAUUAAUUUUAUGUUUAUUGUUUUCAAUACAAUUUCUGUUUAGUUUGUAAUUUAUUUUUCACUUCUAAAUUCAGCAGAUUUAUUGAAUUUUAUAUCAACAAAGGUUUAUUUCAUAAAUUGUUUUGAUACCAUCCCAUAAUGGUUGUGGCUCUGGUGCUUUUUGUUGUAUCCAUCUUCCAAUUCUUUUCUGGUUAUGAUGUUGAGAAAUCGAGAUCAGUUCGUGUUCCCUGUAUCUCCUCGGCAAGAACCUGCGUCAUGCAUUACUGUCUUCUCUGACAGGCCUCAAUCCAGAAAGAUGCAAAACGAUAGCUAUUGUGUUUAUGGUUCAGAUAUUGCAACCGACUUGGGCGUGGGGUCGCUGCUGGUCCUCACGGCCAGUCAACUUAUUGUAAUGGCAGCAAGUCGAUGCUUGUGCUGUGGGAAAGUUUUGAGACCCAGUAGUUUAAGGGCACAGGCAAUUGCCCCAUUCCUUUCCUGCCGGUAUGUGUUCAUGCCGUCAUGACUUGCCUUUAGGACUUAACUCUGUAGAUUUUUUUGUAGAUUUGACCUGACUUAAUUUCUUUUAUUUUGGGAUGUGUUUGGAACUUAUGAAAGGCAAGAAAAGAAGAUAAAUAAUAGGAAAGGGAAAGAGAAAUUCAGGAAAUGUAAUAAUUUUUCUUUUGUUUGGUUACGCAAAAGAGGAAAGAAAACAAUAGCCUAACUUAACAGAGAAAAUGAGGAAAGGAAAGAUGAAAGGAAAAGAAAGUGAGAAGGAAAAUAAUUUCUCAAUUGUUUUUCCUUGAGUUUUUCCCAAAUUAGGAGCCUAACAGAGAAAGGAAGGAAAGACAUGUGAGAUAAGAAUAUAGGAGGGACUUUUUUUUUCUUUGUAUUGUGACUGGUAAUAUACUUGAUCAUCUAUUCUUUAAUCCAACCAGGAGAGGGAAACUAGUUUCUCUUCAAUUUUUAUCAUUUCUCACUACCCACUAGCUAAACCCACCCACUCAAACCAAACAGUCUGUCAAUUUCUUGAAUAUUUCAGGGUGCCAUUUGUUAUUGCUGAAGUUUGUUUGCUCGCGGGUUCGGUGAGGAAUGUCUACCACACCAAGUACAGAACCGCAUUGUCGAACCCUCCUUGUGACUUGUGAGACCUUGAGAAAGGAAGUCCGUCCUUGGGGGCAGGGCUGCCUUCAUUGUUUUCACCGGCAUUUUCUUCGAGCUUUAUUAUGUCUACUUCUUGAAGGCCAAUGAUGGGUUCCAACCUGAUAAAGACACUGGCAUAGGGAUGGGAACCUAGAAGUGAACUCUGAUAGAGAGAGGUGAAGUGUUCUUUAUAUCUGUUUUAUAGAUGUUUUCGCUUUUUAACCUUCCUGAUCGAUGAUUAUUGUAAACUAGUAUGAGAGACUACAUGAUACAGGUUGAAGUUCUUCUACUUCUAGAUUGGUUUUAAUUUUAGUGCAUAUAUAUAUUCUUGACAUCUAUUCUUGUCUUUUAGUUUAUGAAAGCUUGCCUUAAACAUUUAAGGUAAUGUCAGCUCAAGAAUAAUGCUAUAUAUCACACCAUUAGAGUUGGAAUUGGAAUUUCAAAUCACAAUAUCGGUAUCGGUGAUAUUGUCUUGUAUCAGCCGAUAUUAAACAAUAUUGGCCGACAUAUUUAUUAACGUGUGACAUCAGAGGCAGCCAAAUCCCGAUAGGAAAGUGUCGGGAUUUGGGUUAAAAGUUGAAAAAAACAAUUUUGAAGGCCAAAGUAUAAAUUGGUCAAUACUUGGAAAGAGAAAAAGAGUAAUUAAGCCUCUUAUUAUCUCACACAACACACAACGGAAGAGAGUUGUGUCAUGUACCUCUUCCUUCCACUCGUGGAAUGAAGAGGAUUUAAGUCCCUCCCACAGUUUUAUCCUUCAAACUGACUCAUCCAUGAGUCCAACCCAGAAUGCAACUAAUUCAACUUUCAUAAAUUGGAACAAAAAAUCAACUCAGUAUUGGAUUUUCCAUAUGGGUGUCGUGAACACAAAACCCUUUUUCGGGGUAAAAUACAAAAAUGGUACCUAAAGUAUGUGGUUAGUGUCACUUUUAUCCUCUAAAUUUAAAAUUUAUCAAAUUUGUCUUUAUGGUUUUCAAAUUAAAUCAAAUGAGUCCAAUUUGGUUCAACCAAUCUGAUUGAACCAUUUGAAAUUUGACAAUUUUGAUUCAAUUUAAAAAAGUUAAUUAUGAAAUUGAAAAAAAUAAAACUUAAGAGGCCAAAGUAACGCAGACUGCAUAUUUUAGGAACCAUUUAUG